rnacentral:rRNA from 1 species
UACCAGCACCCCGAGUGGUCGGGACGAUUAUUGGGCCUAAAGCAUCCGUAGCCGGUUUUACAAGUCCUCCGUUAAAUCCAGCUGCUUAACAGAUGGGCUGCGGAGGAUACUAUAAGACUAGGAGGCAGGAGAGGCAAGCGGUACUCAGUGGGUAGGGGUAAAAUCCGUUGAUCCAUUGAAGACCACCAGUGGCGAAGGCGGGUAGCUGGGCCAACACUGACGCUGAUGCGCGAAAGCUAGGGUAGCAAACGGG